rnacentral:rRNA from 1 species
UACGUAGGGUGCGAGCGUUGUCCGGAAUUAUUGGGCGUAAAGGGCUCGUAGGCGGUUUGUCGCGUCGGGAGUGAAAACCAGGUGCUUAACACCUGGCUUGCUUUCGAUACGGGCAGACUAGAGGUAUUCAGGGGAGAACGGAAUUCCUGGUGUAGCGGUGAAAUGCGCAGAUAUCAGGAGGAACACCGGUGGCGAAGGCGGCUCUCUGGGACGGUACUGACGCUGAGACGCGAAAGCGUGGGGAGCGAACAGG